rnacentral:rRNA from 1 species
UACGUAGGGGGCUAGCGUUGUCCGGAAUCAUUGGGCGUAAAGCGCGCGUAGGCGGCCAGAUAAGUCCGGUGUGAAAGUCACAGGCUCAACCUGUGAAUGCCGCUGGAAACUGUCUGGCUAGAGUCCGGAAGGGGCGAGUGGAAUUCCUGGUGUAGCGGUGAAAUGCGCAGAUAUCAGGAGGAACACCAAUGGCGAAGGCAGCUCGCUGGAACGGUACUAACGCUGAGGCGCGAAAGCGUGGGGAGCGAACAGG